rnacentral:rRNA from 1 species
GAUGCUUAUUUCUAGAGAUAGAAGUUACUUCGGUACAUCGGUGACAGGUGGUGCAUGGUUGUCGUCAGCUCGUGUCGUGAGAUGUUGGGUUAAGUCCCGCAACGAGCGCAACCCCUAUUGUUAGUUGCCAUCAUUCAGUUGGGCACUCUAGCGAGACUGCCGGUAAUAAACCGGAGGAAGGUGGGGAUGACGUCAAAUCAUCAUGCCCCUUAUGACCUGGGCUACACACGUGCUACAAUGGUUGGUACAACGAGUUGCGAGUCGGUGACGGCGAGCUAAUCUCUUAAAGCCAAUCUCAGUUCGGAUUGCAGGCUGCAACUCGCCUGCAUGAAGUCGGAGUUGCUAGUAAUCGCGGAUCAGAAUGCCGCGGUGAAUGCGUUCCCGGGUCUU